rnacentral:rRNA from 1 species
UCGCUAGUAAUCGCAGAUCAGAAUGCUGCGGUGAAUACGUUCCCGGGUCUUGUACACACCGCCCGUCACACCAUGGGAGUCGGAAAUGCCCGAAGCCGGUGACCAAACCAAUAAGGAAGGAGCCGUCGAAGGCAGGUCUGAUAACUGGGGUGAAGUCGUAACAAGGUACC